rnacentral:rRNA from 1 species
CGAACGAAGCCUUCGGGCUUAGUGGCGGACGGGUUAGUAACGCGUGGGAACGUGCCCUUCACUACGGAAUAGUCCUGGGAAACUGGGUUCAAUACCGUAUACGCCCUUCGGGGGAAAGAUUUAUCGGUGAAGGAUCGGCCCGCGUUAGAUUAGAUAGUUGGUGGGGUAAUGGCCUACCAAGUCUACGAUCUAUAGCUGGUUUUAGAGGAUGAUCAGCAACACUGGGACUGAGACACGGCCCAG